rnacentral:rRNA from 1 species
UACGAAGGGGGCUAGCGUUGUUCGGAAUUACUGGGCGUAAAGAGCGUGUAGGCGGCCAGAUAGGUCUGCUGUGAAAACUCGAGGCUCAACCUCGAGAUGUCGGCGGAAACCAUUUGGCUAGAGUCCGGAAGAGGAAAGUGGAAUUCCUGGUGUAGCGGUGAAAUGCGCAGAUAUCAGGAGGAACACCGGUGGCGAAGGCGGGUCUCUGGGCAGUAACUGACGCUGAGGAGCGAAAGCGUGGGGAGCGAACAGG